GUGGGUAUAGCUCAGAGCCGGAGUGCCUGCAUGGCAUGCAUGAGGUCCUGCGUUCAAUCCCCAGUACCUCCA
rnacentral:tRNA from 1 species